GGAUGGAGGAAGAACGUGGAGGAGGUGGUGGUGGUGGUAGAUGAGGGAGAAGGAGGAAGAGGAUGAGGAUGGAGGAAGAGUGUGGAGGAGGUGGUGGUGGUGGUAGAUGGGGGAGAAGGAGGAAGAAGAGGAUGGAGGAAGAGCGUGGAGGGGUGGUGGUGGUAGAUGGGGGAGAAGGAGGAAGAGGAUGGAGGAAGAGUGUGGAGGAGGUGGUGGUGGUAGAUGGGGGAGAAGGAGGAAGAGGACGAGGAUGGAGGAAGAGUGUG
ensembl:lncRNA